rnacentral:rRNA from 1 species
CGACGAGUGGCGAACGGGUGAGUAAUACAUCGGAACGUGUCCGCUCGUGGGGGACAACCAGCCGAAAGGUUGGCUAAUACCGCAUGAGUUCUACGGAAGAAAGAGGGGGACCCGCAAGGGCCUCUCGCGAGCGGAGCGGCCGAUGACUGAUUAGCCGGUUGGUGAGGUAACGGCUCACCAAAGCAACGAUCAGUAGCUGGUCUGAGAGGACGACCGGCCACACUGGGACUGAGACACGGCCCAGACUCCUACGGGAGGCAGCAG